GACGAACGCUGGCGGCGUGCUUAACACAUGCAAGUCGAGCGGAAAGGCCCUGCUUGCAGGGUACUCGAGUGGCGAACGGGUGAGUAACACGUGGGUGAUCUGCCCUGCACUUCGGGAUAAGCCUGGGAAACUGGGUCUAAUACCGGAUAGGAGCCAUUUUUAGUGUGAUGGUUGGAAAGUUUUUUCGGUGUAGGAUGAGCUCGCGGCCUAUCAGCUUGUUGGUGGGGUAAUGGCCUACCAAGGCGGCGACGGGUAGCCGGCCUGAGAGGGUGGACGGCCACAUUGGGACUGAGAUACGGCCCAGACUCCUACGGGAGGCAGCAGUGGGGAAUAUUGCACAAUGGGCGCAAGCCUGAUGCAGCGACGCCGCGUGGGGGAUGACGGCCUUCGGGUUGUAAACUCCUUUCGCUAGGGACGAAGCUUUUGUGACGGUACCUAGAUAAGAAGCACCGGCUAACUACGUG
rnacentral:rRNA from 1 species